AAGUCGUAACAAGGUCUCCGUAGGUGAACCUGCGGAGGGAUCAUUAACACGUUCCAAAACAACAAGAAACCGUGGUUUCCCCCUCCCUAUCGGGUACGCCGCUUUCGACAGACCAGCUAGUGGUAAGUUCGCAAGGACUUAGGUCUUCGGGGCGAGGGUUUGGUCCCAAAAAGCGUGCUCUGGUAGGCCUUUCAUUCUAUUGGUUCACUCCGAUAGUUGUAUUCUUUUGCCUCCCACUUGCGGCCAAUACUAACCAAUUUAAUCUAGUUGACUGAUUCGUCGAUAUAGAAGAAAUUCUGUAAUGACUUUAAACCAACUAAGUACAACUCUUAGCAAUGGAUAUCUAGGUUCUC
rnacentral:misc_RNA from 1 species